rnacentral:rRNA from 1 species
CGAGUGAAGAGGGAAAAGCUCAAAUUUUGAAUCUGGCGUCUUCGGCGUCCGAAUUGUAAUCUAGAGAAGUGUUUUCCGUGACGGACCGUGCAUAAGUCUCCUGGAAUGGAGUGUCAUAGAGGGUGAGAAUCCCGUAUAUGGCACGGACUCCCGUUGCUCUGUGAUACACUCUCGACGAGUCGAGUUGUUUGGGAAUGCAGCUCUAAAUGGGUGGUAAAUGCCAUCUAAAGCUAAAUAUUGGCGAGAGACCGAUAGCGAACAAGUACCGUGAGGGAAAGAUGAAAAGCACUUUGGAAAGAGAGUGAAACAGUACGUGAAAUUGUUGAAAGGGAAACGCUUGAAGUCAGUCGCGCCGUUCGGGAUUCAGCCUUGCUUCUGCUCGGUUUACUUCCCGUUGGGUGGGUCAACAUCAGUUUCGGUCGGAGGAGAAAGGCUUGGGGAAGGUAGCAGCAUUCGUGCUGUGUUAUAGCCCCUUGUUGUAUACUUCGACUGGGACUGAGGAUCGCAGCACGCCUUUGGCCGGGGUACGCCCACGUACGUGCUUAGGAUGUUGGCA